CAGAAACUUAAAGGAAGUUGACGGGGCCCGCACAAGCGGUGGAGUAUGUGGUUUAAUUCGAUGCAACGCGAAGAACCUUACCUGGUCUUGACAUCCCGGAGACCCUUAGGAAACUAGGGGGUGCUUCCAUCUGGAAGAAUCUGGAGACAGGUGCUGCAUGGCUGUCGUCAGCUCGUGUCGUGAGAUGUUGGGUUAAGUCCCGCAACGAGCGCAACCCUUGCCUUUAGUUGCCAGCAGUUCGGCUGGGCACUCUAAAGGGACUGCCGGUGUUAAACCGGAGGAAGGUGGGGAUGACGUCAAGUCCUCAUGGCCUUUAUGACCAGGGCUACACACGUACUACAAUGGCCGAUACAAAGGGCAGCGACACUGCGAGGUGAAGCCAAUCCCGUAAAAUCGGUCUCAGUCCGGAUUGGAGUCUGCAACUCGACUCCAUGAAGUUGGAAUCGCUAGUAAUCGUGGAUCAGCAUGCCACGGUGAAUACGUUCCCGGGCCUU
rnacentral:rRNA from 1 species